GUGGCUGGAAAAGUAGCAUUGGAUUUCUGAGCAAGGAAACUGCCCCCUGUUGUUUGUUCCUACUGUGUUCAGGGAAACAGCACAUUGUGUACGUUCUUUGUAAAUAAACACGAUUGAACCAAAUAAAUACCUGACUCACAUAAUCCAUUUCUCUCCUUAGUGGAAACAAGUCAACAAGAUCCAGAACAGUAGCUGACCACUUGUGACAAAGUGCAACACUGGUGUGAGGAAGUGGGAUCCAGUUUCAAAAGAGAGAAAUUGUGAGCUGGUAUUACUGUUGACAAGAGUUCAAAUAAUUGAACAUCUCACAAAACUCAAAGAUGGAAAAAAGAAAUUAAAACAAGACCUAAAACAUGAAAUGGAGGCUUCGCAAAACCUAUUAAAGCAACUUCUGGCAGCUUCCCAGGAAGGACAGAGAUGACAUGCAGACAGAGAUAAAACCUUUGCAGGGGCAGCAGCUCCAAAGUGACUUGGCAGAUUAGGAAACCCAGCUAUAAAACUCCCAUUCUGGCAUGGCAAGAAGGAUCAAUGAGGUGACCAUCAGUCUGCCUGUCAUGGACUUGAAGGUUUUCUGGGAAAUAGGGGAGACCAGGCAAGCUGUGGCCAACUUGGAAUUCACUAACAGAGAUGAGCUGCAGCAAGGACUUAAAGGUCCAUUGAGAAGGAAAUCAAAGCAUCAUAGACCACAGUGGAAGGCAGCUGUGUGGAUGAGGAAUUUGGCCAGCUGAAGGACUUGGGUAAGACUGGGCAUUUACAAUAGUUUUCUACCCUGUUUGUAACCUGCAGAGUCCCAGGGGGGAAGGUUCAAUCAUCCCAGCUUAAUAAUAUUAAAGCCCAAUAUCUCUGAAGAGAAAACUCCCUGGGAGGCUUAUUUGGCUCAGUUCCAUCAUUGCCCGAAUGAAUGGCUGGGAGAUGAACAGACUGGGUGGUUGCUAGCAGCCAGCUUGGGUGGCCCAGCUCUGACUGUACUGCAGAAUUUACCCCCCAGAAAAGAGACUGAGUUUUCCAGAUCUGGGACAAGGCCUUGAUAUGUAGUAUGACAAAUUGGGACAAUGUCUGUAGUAUCUUUUAUGAAUAUUAUGUGUGAUUAGGUUUCCCUGUUCAAAUUCAUAUGCUGCCUGUUUGAAUGCACAGAGCUUAAUCAAAGGGGGCUGUAAAAAUCUUGUUAUAGAACAUAGCAGGAAGGGUAAAACCAAUGACACAGAGAAGUGAACUUCCCAUACACAACCUCAAAAGUGUGACGAUAAUAUUGGCUGGGCCCACAACUGGUGAAAAAAUUAACUUAACUAGCUUCAUCCAAACUAAGCCUUGGACCAAAAGGAGAUGGAACCCCUAAAAGACCCUAAAUAAAGGAGGAGCUUUGGGGGAGAGCUGAGAGAGAGGCUGCCAAGGAUGUGUUAGUGAAAAGGCUGACAAUCUAACGACUGGGUUAAACACAAAAAAAGACAGAGGGGCCAGGCUGCAAGUAGUGUAGAUUGCUUCUCACAACUCAGAUGGGAAAUAAACCGGACCCAUCUAAACAAUGCCUAGAGAGGGCAAACUUCAGUAAAGGAGUAUGCAUGUAGACCUAUUUGUUAUUUUAAAUCUACUUCUUUAAGUACUGUGUGCCUUUGAGGCAGAAUAAAUCACGUUAUGUUCUGGAGAUGCUGUUUUUGUAUCACUGCAAACAUAUGCUGUCACAUGCAGGGCUGGAUUUCCAGUUUGGCAUGUGCCAUGGGGCGCUGGCGUUCUAGGGGUGCCUAAAAGUUAAAAGUGGGUGAAAAGCUAGAAAGUUCAAACAGUAGAACCUCCGAGUUAUGGACUCCUCGGGAAUAGAGGUUGUCUGUAACUCUGAAAUGUUCCGUAGCUCUGAAGAAGAGGUUAUGGGCUUCAGCCACAGGAGGGGUUGAGGCUGCACUUACAGGGGGUGUGUGUCAGGGCUUUGGACUUGGGCGGGGAGGAGCCAGGGGUUCUGACUCUGAAUGGGGGGUGGGGAGCCUCGGGGCUUCUGCCCGGGGCAGCACCGGGGCUCAACACUUUAGAUCUGGAGGGAGCCCUGGGGUCGGGGCAACAGUCCGACAGCUCCACUCCUGGUUUCAGCCUCGCAGGGGGCUCCGGGGCUUGGGGUUCAGCGGGGCAAGGAGGGAGGCCGAAACUGGCACUCCCCUUGUAGCUGAAAUCCCAAGGCCUGGUGCCCCCUGUGGGGCUGAAGGUGGGAACAGGGCUGUGGGGCUGAGCCCCAGUGCUCCUGAGGGUCAGAAGCCCAGAGCAGUACAGUAUUUCUCUUUUUUUUUUGUUUUUGUCUGCUCUGCGGCCUGAACCUGGGCUGUCUCCUGGUGAGGGAUGGGGGUGGGGGGAGGGGAAGGAGAGCCUGAAUCUGGGCUGCCUGCUAAGGCAUUGGUUGGGGGGGAGAGAAGGAGAGCCAGAGCUGUCAGUCUGGGGUGGCUGGGCUCCAGCUGUCCCCUUUAUCCCCACUACCCAGGUGUGCACAGCCCUUCUGAAUGAGCCCCAGCCACCAGGGCUGCCAGCAGAGCUCUUU